GCAGACCAGCAGAGCUUACACGCUUACAAAAAGAGCUUAACACACAUGUAGAUGCGUGUGUGUGCGUGUGUGUGUAUAUAGUUAAUUGUGUGUGUGUGUGU